AUUGAACGCUGGCGGCAGGCCUAACACAUGCAAGUCGAGCGGAUGAAGGGAGCUUGCUCCUGGAUUCAGCGGCGGACGGGUGAGUAAUGCCUAGGAAUCUGCCUGGUAGUGGGGGAUAACGUCCGGAAACGGGCGCUAAUACCGCAUACGUCCUGAGGGAGAAAGUGGGGGAUCUUCGGACCUCACGCUAUCAGAUGAGCCUAAGUCGGAUUAGCUAGUUGGUGGGGUAAAGGCCUACCAAGGCGACGAUCCGUAACUGGUCUGAGAGGAUGAUCAGUCACACUGGAGCUGAGACACGGUCCAGACUCCUACGGGAGGCAGCAGUGGGGAAUAUUGGACAAUGGGCGAAAGCCUGAUCCAGCCAUGCCGCGUGUGUGAAGAAGGUCUUCGGAUUGUAAAGCACUUUAAGUUGGGAGGAAGGGCAGUAAGUUAAUACCUUGCUGUUUUGACGUUACCAACAGAAUAAGCACCGGCUAACUUCGUG
rnacentral:rRNA from 1 species